rnacentral:rRNA from 2 species
UCUAAGUAUAAGCAAUUAUACCGUGAAACUGCGAAUGGCUCAUUAAAUCAGUUAUCGUUUAUUUGAUAGUACCUUACUACUUGGAUACCCGUGGUAAUUCUAGAGCUAAUACAUGCAAAAAACCCCGACUUCGGGAGGGGUGUAUUUAUUAGAUAAAAAACCAAUGCCCUUCGGGGCUCUUUGGUGAUUCAUGAUAACUUAACGGAUCGCAUGGCCUUGCGCCGGCGACGGUUCAUUCAAAUUUCUGCCCUAUCAACUUUCGAUGGUAAGGUAUUGGCUUACCAUGGUUUCAACGGGUAACGGAUUUUUAGGGAAAGAUCCCGGAGAGGGAGCCUGAGAAACGGCUACCACAUCCAAGGAAGGCAGCAGGCGCGCAAAUUACCCAAUCCCGACACGGGGAGGUAGUGACAAUAAAUACUGAUACAGGGCUCUUUUGGGUCUUGUAAUCGGAAUGAGUACAAUUUAAAUACCUUAACGAGGAACAAUUGGAGGGCAAGUCUGGUGCCAGCAGCCGCGGUAAUUCCAGCUCCAAUAGCGUAUAUUAAAGUUGUUGCAGUUAAAAAGCUCGUAGUUGAACCUUGGGCCUGGCUGGCCGGUCCGCCUCACCGCGUGUACUGGUCCGGCCGGGCCUUUCCUUCUGGAGAACCCCAUGCCCUUCACUGGGCGUGGCGGGGAACCAGGACUUUUACUUUGAGAAAAUUAGAGUGUUCAAAGCAGGCCUUUGCUCGAAUACGUUAGCAUGGAAUAAUAGAAUAGGACGUGUGGUUCUAUUUUGUUGGUUUCUAGAACCGCCGUAAUGAUUAAUAGGGAUAGUCGGGGGCGUCAGUAUUCAAUUGUCAGAGGUGAAAUUCUUGGAUCUAUUGAAGACUAACUACUGCGAAAGCAUUCGCCAAGGAUGUUUUCAUUAAUCAGUGAACGAAAGUUAGGGGAUCGAAGACGAUCAGAUACCGUCGUAGUCUUAACCGUAAACUAUGCCGACUAGGGAUCGGGCGAUGUUUCUAUCUUGACUCGCUCGGCACCUUACGAGAAAUC